AUUGUUCGCCAAAAUGUCAAUAAGCAAUGCAAUUCAAAAUGAUAUUCGAAUAGAAUUAUUCUAUUUACAUUAUGAUUUUAUUAAAUCUUAGGCAUACUUUUGAAAAAAAAACAAGAGAACAACGAUCUGGUUUGGAAAUUCUACAGAUUUUCGCUCAUUCAAGAGUAUUAUGAUAAAUCGUCGUUGUUACCAUGGUUAUUUUUCACCAGUUACGUUAAGAGGGCCGUUAUUUAUAUCUUUAAUACAUGUAAACAUAAAACACAUAACAAGUUUAAAGAGAAGAGGAGUGUUGAAGCAAAUGAAAAAUUAGCUAUUCUUGAAAAAGAUGCUGUUUGCAGUUAUCUUAAUUCUUUAUCUCGUCUAAGAAGACAUCAUGCAGAAAACAUGGAGGCUGCAAAAGACGGGUUUGAUGCUAGCUACGAAGAAGAAACAGAUCCACGUUUGCAAGAACAAUUUUAAUUUCUUGUCGUCUGAUGUAAAUAUAUAAUACAGAAGAAUCUGGUAGACUGUAAAACUAAUAAUUGCAUCAAAACAGAGUCUAUUAAUACACUUUAAAACAGAAACUACUUAGUAAUUUGUCUGAACCUAUAUCAAGUAAAAAUAUUACUUAUUAGUUUCCAUACAAUUACUUGUUAUCUCUAAGUGUUACAUAGUAUGCGUAGGGAAUUCCUUAAAAUUACCAAACUGAUAUAAUUUCGAAACUAAGUUAAUAACUAAACGUGAAAGUGACAAAAAAAAACAUUACUUACAUUUAAUAAAGGUAUUUUAAUUCAAUAAAAUGACGUAAAACAUUUAUUGAUGAUUACUAGAAAAACUACUACGUAUUACAAGGCAUGCUUAGGAAUCUAAUAGAUAAUAUUUAACUUAAAUUAGCUUAAGUAAAUUAAUUACUAAUGACGAACUAUGAAUAUAUUAUACUGAAAAAGUUUUAUUAUAAAUCUGUAAUAUACCAUGUAGAUUUCACUUUGAAAUGGGUUAAUAUAAUGAAAAUAAUUUGGUGUGUAGUAGCUAGCUGACAUGCAAAUUAUUAUUUUUGUUAUUUCUAAAGCACUAUGAUUUAUUUUUAAAUAUGACUAACACUUGUUUUUAGAAUAAGUACUUAAUUGUUAAUCUCUGAUUGAUGGAUGGAUGAAAUGGUGUUUUAAAUCCAGUGCUAAUUAGUACAUGGAUAUCAGAAUGAUGACAUGUUAAUGUUAACACAUUAUUAAGAAUUUGAGCCCACCAGUCUUUUGUCUUACUCAAAGAAUUUCAAAGAUUAAGAACUGGAUCUUCCUUCACUAUAUUUGUCACCUAAAUUACUUGUAAGUGCUCCAUGGGACCUAUUUCUAAAUCAAAGCCGGGUUUCACAGUUAUUGUUUAAUAAAGAUCUUUUAGAGUACAUACAUUUAAAGACUCUUUCAUCUUGCAAUAUAACAUGUAGUAUCAAAACAUUUGACUUUUCUAUACUGUACACAAGUAUUCCCCAUUGCAAACUAAAAGACAAAUUGAAAGAGCUGGUCCUGUUUUGUUUCAUAAAAAAGGAUGACAAACGUAAACACAAUUAUCAUAUCUUAGGGAGGGAAAAAUUGUACUUUGUACAAAAAUAACUAUGAUUCAAACAAAAAAUUAUCUGAAACUGACAUUAUCAAGUUGUUGAUUUUUUUAUUGACAACAUAUUUGUCAUGUUUGUUACGUUUGGAGGACCUGUUUUUUCAACAAACAAUCGGCAUUCCUAUGGAAACCCACUUUGCUCCUCUUCUUGCCGACAUAUAUCUGUAUUCAUAUGAUAUUGAUUUCAUAAAGGAGCUUCUUAGGAAGAAAGAAAAGAAGUUAGCAUUGUCCUUUAACUUCAUUUUCGCUACCAAGAGUUCUAAGUGGUGAAGUUGAAAUCAUCCUUUCGUAAAUUUUACGGACGUCAUCACUAACAGGAUGACCGUUAUGGGAUAUCCGUUCCACAGAUGACGACGGAUAUGUUCCAAUUGUCGUAACUACAAUCCCGUCCUCUUUUCCAUGAAUGUGACCUACCAAAUUAGACUUAUCACCCGGUGUGUACUUACAUGAGCAACUCGACGGGUGCCACAUGUGGAGCAGAACUUCCGGAGCAACUGACAUCACCCCCGGAUUUUGGUGGGGUUCGUGUUGCUCAGUUUUUAGUUUUCUAUGUUGUGUUUUGUGUACCGUUGUUUGUCUAAUGGUUUUUGUUUUCUGUUUUUGCUAUUCAACGUAUUAUUUUUUCAACAGUUCCUUGAGGUAUAUGGAGUUCAUUCUCUGAAUUUUUGUUUUUGUUUUUGUCCUUGUAAUGAAAUAAUACAUUUCAAAAUUAUAGUUCAUCUAGUACAGAUAAUUUCAAAUCAAGGCAAUCGUUAAUACUCUAGUCACAACAGACAUCUAGUUGAGUGUAUGCUUUGUUAUGAAGGGUUUUAAAUAAGGAGAUAUUUAUCAUAUUUGAAUUUUUUAUUAUUGUAUCUCAUUUCAAUUUAUAGAUCAUGUAUUAUUUUACUUGUCUAUUUAGUAAUGUUAUCUAAUAAAUUCAA